UUUCUACUCCCUCCGUCCGAAAAUACUUGUCAUCAAAAUGGAUAAAAGGAGAUGUAUCUAGAACUAAAAUACAUCUAGAUACAUCCCCUUUUAUUCAUUUUGAUGACAAGUAUUUCCAGAUGGAGGGAGUAGUAU
rnacentral:pre_miRNA from 1 species